UUGCAUUCAUAAUAUUUAAUUCAUGUUCAAUAUACAGUGCAUAUACAAACUAUUGCACUCUUCUAUUCAUCACAAAAUGUCAUUCAUUCAACAUAUAUAAAGAUUCAUUUGUUUUCUUCGCUCAUGUUAGCUACAACCAUCUAGGAAAUACAUGAGUUGACAUAUGAGACAAGUUACAGAAUUUGAUGGUAAGAUCCUAAGAGACCAGAUGUUUGAUCACUUGACUACUACAAAAUAUCAUGGGAGAGACCAAGUCUUCGAUCACCAAACCAACAUCAUCCUCCGUAUGAAUAAAAGGUGUCAACCAUGCUAUUUUCUGCCAUUUGUCCCUGCAAAAGAAUUUACUACCUUGUUGGAUAAAAGCACCAAAUAGUCAUAAAAUAAAAUAAAAACAUUUAUGCACUCUAUAGAGUAAUAAAUAUGUCAGGGCAUGUCACCUUUGAAGAAACCAAUUGAGCUCUAUCGCGUGGUAUAAUAACAGUUGGAAGAUAACUAAUGUCUAAAGCAAUAAGGGACAUACUUGGUCUAGCUUGAUGUAAAGUAUCCAGUAGUUUCGGCCUAAGAAAAAACAAAUAUGGAUGUAAGUUGGCACAUAUGCCAGCAUAUAAAACAUUAACAUGACAAAUUAUUUUCUGAUAUAAAUUAUUUUAUGUUGUAGUGGCCUAAACAACUCGCACUUGUGUACUUAUGUUCUUAGUGUAACUAGAAAAUAUACUUACGAGUGAUACAAACAGGAUGUGUUAUGGCUGAAAAGGCAAAUUUUAAACAAUCACGAUAUCUUAUUUAGUUAACUAGAAAAAUUCCAGUUCUAACCCUGAGCAUUUUCCUGUCAGCAAGUUUAGUAGCUCAACUGAACAAUUAUGUUACAAUUUGGAAUAUUUGCAUGUAUUUCAGUUUUAACCCUGAGCAUUAUACCAGUGAACAUAUAAGAUAUAGUAGAUUAGAAACAAUUUACCUUGUCUUAGAGGCUAGAUCUUUAUCUCUACUAGCUCGAAAAAACAUGGAACAAAGAAUAUUUGAAAAGAAUGUUGGACAGGGAAAGAAAAAUCAUCUUUUCCUCAAGCAACUACACGAUGUAGUUUUGCUAGCAUUAGUUCCAUACUUCCAUGAUAGUUGUUCCAGAAGUGCACACUGAUGCUUUACUAGCCUGAAAAGAGACAACACUUUCUUGGUUCACUCACAUAGUACUGAAUGCAUAAUCAAAUUGUUAGCAGGCAUGCAUCAUUAACAUCAAAGUACCAUGUAGACUAUUAGCAUAAGAAGAAUUUAGCUGCUAUAGGUUUCACAUACUAACAAUUAAUUAAGUCUUAUAAAUUUCACAUUUUGUUUCUGUUGCAAACAAGAAGGUUGUAAUGGUUCACCCACCAUUACUUGAUGUUCUAAAAAUUUACGCUCCUUCAAUGACUCAUCCCUAGAAGUACGGGGGUAAAAACUACCGAAAAGAGAAUAUACUAUCACCAACUAUUGCUAUUGGGGAUCGGUAAGCUCUUUGUCAAGCAAAUUUAAUUGACAAUAAGGCGACGAGAUGUCACGUUUAUCAUUGGUAGCAUAUAUAAUCAUAAUCUAAAGAGCUAAAGCAUACUCUGUGUUACACAAAUAACAAUAGUAAUGCUCUAGUGAUGAAAGAGAUAACUUAAAAACCAUGCAUAAGUGGUGAAACUUGCAUCAAAAUGACAGGUUUGCCGGAAACAAAUUGCAUCGGUAUAUAUAUGUUUAUACUAUGGUUUAUAUAUAAAGAAUGCUUGAUAAAGGUAGGAGAUUGCUUAUGUUGCGGUUCAUGCAUGCUAUGAAACAUUGUGUGGCAUACAAUAUAGAUUUGCAUGUGUUGUAUUCUACUAUGGUUAAAAUCCUGAAAGUGAAGAUAUGCUACAAUAGACUGCAACAUCUAUGUUUUUCUAAAAAUAGAGCUAGGUGUAAUCCUGAUUUGUGGUGCUGAACUAAAUAUGCUUCCCACAAAAAUAAUGGUCAAGUCUUAUUUUGUGGAUGAUCUUUAAAAGAUAGGAAUAUUUAGUUUAUAGGUACUAGGAAUAGCACACUUAUGGUGAUUUAUCCCACACAAGUUCUAAAUGUCAGGAGUGCUUACUUAAUUUUCAGAGAUAUGCAAUUGAGAUUGUUCAGUUAGUGAUCAAAUAUAUAUAUGCUAGCAUCUAGCAUUCUCUUUGGAGUAAUUUCUCACAGGAAUUUUCUUGCGUACUAAAUCAUGCGUUUCUGCUAGCUGCCUUGAUCAAGUCGCUGAACUGGAUACUAUUUUUUAUGCUAGUGGGGGUACUUCUACACACAUACAAAAUGUAGGAUUGAUAAGAAAACCUGACAAUAAAUUACUUAACACAUUGUAGUUGUUGGUAUCUUCUCAUUGCUAAAUUUAGAUGUCAUACAUUGGUACCGUAACUGUAAGUAUAACAAUAUUUUCCCAAGACUAACAAGACAUUCAUUUUCUAGGAUACGUGUACCAUCUUUUAGAGUGACACUCAUGCGCUGUAGGAACAGAGCAUAAGUUAAAAAACAUAAAAAAUAAUAUUCGGUAAACAAACACUCAAAUUUUCAGUGUAAAGAUCAAUAAAAUGUUUCUGUAAAUUAGAGUUCAACUUUUUGAUAUUUGGCAUGUCGAAACAAUUGCUACUAUCUUCUCAUUGCCAUUUCCAUUUGAGUAACUUUAACACUCUCAUGUUCAGUUCAAAUAAAAUAACCUCAAGCUUGAAUAGAUACCUUGUACUAAUGUGCAUCCAAUCAUUAUAUUUUAUAAAUUUUGACUCCAACUUUCUAUAUCAUUUAGUAGCUUGUACAGAGCUAAUACUGCUAUAUACAUGGUGUUCUAAAUAAGUAAAUAGGAAGAGACAUAAACAUCUGAGAAUUAGCAUUCUAUAAAAGUUUAC
rnacentral:lncRNA from 1 species